UUUUUUUCUCAACUACAGGCUUCUUCAAAAACUUAAUUAAUAAUUUUUCUCCCAAGGAAUGCAGCCCUUAAAAUGCCUGAACUAAACUUAUAAGAUAUCCAUCAAUCUGCAACAGAUAAUCUAUUACACAGAACAACAUAAACCUGGGAAUGGCAUUAAGUCUGAAACUGAAGGUAAUCAUGUUGCUAGCAACGCUGGGGCAGGCGCUGCCGAAGGGGAUCAAAAGAAAGAGAAGUCUGUCUUGCAAUCGAAACUCACCAAAUUGGCCAUACAGAUUGGUUAUGCUGGCUCCACCAUUGCCGUGCUGACGGUCAUCAUUUUGGUCAUACAAUUCUGUGUUAAGACAUUCGUUAUCGAGGAGAAACCCUGGAAGAAUACCUAUGCCAAUCAUUUUGUUAAGCAUUUGAUUAUCGGUGUAACCGUAUUGGUUGUAGCUGUACCUGAAGGUUUGCCGUUAGCUGUUACCCUAUCGUUGGCCUAUUCGGUGAAG
rnacentral:sRNA from 1 species